GGGCCCGUAUCUAUCAUUAUGAUAGCGGGAUGCUUAGCCUGGAAGAGCGACCGGCUCAUAACCGGUAGGUCGGGGGUUCAAGUCCCCUCGGGCCCA
rnacentral:tRNA from 1 species